GCCUCGAUCCCAGGCCGAGUUUUCGCUUUUAUAACGGUUAGGCGAACAACUAGGCCUGGUACUAGUUGUCUGCGCAUGCGUCAAUCGUUAGUCAGAUUCUGACUAAUGGAUAUUCUCGUUCACUUUUGUGACAUUUAUAUUCGUGUACUAUCGUGUACUAGAAGUCAGUUCCCGUUUUAUCAUUAUUGGAAUGGCUCUUAGCUGAAGCUUCUCUCUUCUCUGAAGCUUAGAAAACAUUAUUCUGAAGACUGAACAACAAGGGAAGAGGUAUAAAGCUUUGUCAAGCUUGUUAAGGAGCAAUGGCUAAUAUCCAGCUAUCCCAACAGUGCUCCUCUUGGCUAUACUAAUGGACGAGACUGGACAGUUUAAGGACUGGAGUAUGACCUGCUCGUUCGAGCGUUGCUGGGUAGCUCAGAGGCAUCAAGAGAAUCUACGUUUUCUCAAGCAAAGUUUAACUGAGUUACGAGUUGGGGCCUAGAAUCAGAGAAGUCCAGCAGCCUGCUAAAUCGUUGAAACGUAAUUUGAAGACAUUCAAUCAUCUUGAAGUUGCCCUGGGUCACUGUAAUCGUGCUGCAGCACAACUGGCAACUCCCCAGGCCCUUGUGAAGCAGCUCCCUAUGUGCAUAUUUUGUGUGUACUCACUCUGUGCAUUUUCUGUGUACAAAUUUCGAUUAUUGAUUUAUUAAAUGAA